rnacentral:rRNA from 1 species
AACGAACGUUAGCGGCGCGCCUAACACAUGCAAGUCGAACGCGAGAGGGGCAACUCUCUUGAGUGGCGCACGGGUGAGUAACACGUAGGUAAUCUUCCCCCGAGUGGUGGAUAACCUUCCGAAAGGAGGGCUAAUACAGCAUAAGACCACGGCCUCGAAAGAGGCUGAGGUCAAAGCGGAGGAUCGCAAGACUUCGCGCUUGGGGAUGAGCCUGCGGCCCAUCAGGUAGUUGGCGGGGUAACAGCCCACCAAGCCUAAGACGGGUAGCUGGUCUGAGAGGAUGAUCAGCCACACUGGAACUGAGACACGGUCCAGACUCCUACGGGAGGCAGCAGUGGGGAAUCUUGCGCAAUGGACGAAAGUCUGACGCAGCGACGCCGCGUGGGUGAUGAAGGCCUUCGGGUUGUAAAGCCCUGUGGGGAGGGACGAAUAAGUUCCGGUUAAUACCCGGAGCGAUGACGGUACCUCCUUAGCAAGCACCGGCUAACUCUGUGCCAGCAGCCGCCGUAAUAC